rfam:Cajanus cajan Scaffold126926_3, whole genome shotgun sequence.
AGUAAUCACAAUGAGGAUACAAAGCUCCCUCUUCUGAGAUAAAGUUGAGGAAAAUUGCUGGCAGAAUCGAACCUUAAAAUCUUAGCCAUCACUGAGUGA